rnacentral:rRNA from 1 species
AGAGCGAACGCUGGCGGCAGGCCUAACACAUGCAAGUCGAGCGCCCGUAGCAAUACGGGAGCGGCAGACGGGAUAGUAACACGUGGGAACGCGCCCUUCGGUUCGGAAUAACUCAGGGAAACUUGAGCUAAUACCGGAUACGCCCUUACGGGGAAAGAUUUAUUGCCGAAGGAACGGCCCGCGUCCGAUUAGCUAGUUGGUGAGGUAAUGGCUCACCAAGGCGACGAUCGGUAGCUGGUCUGAGAGGAUGACCAGCAUCACUGGGACUGAGACACGGCCCAGACUCCUACGGGAGGCAGCAGUGGGGAAUAUUGGACAAUGGGCGCAAGCCUGAUCCAGCCAUGCCGCGUGGAUGAUGAAGGCCUUAGGGUUGUAAAGUCCUUUUAACGGGGAAGUAUAAUGACGGUACCCGUAGAAUAAGCCCCGGCUAACUUCGUGCCAGCAGCCGC